GCACAGAUGUAGCUCCAGCAUGAAAAAAUACUUAGCUUUUCCAAACACAAUGAUAUUGGACAUUCUGUUUAUAGCUGUGAAUAGAUUUUUUUUUUUUUACUUAGUAGUUGAGCUGAAAAGCUUGUCAAAUAAAUAGUUUAGUGUUGAUCCAUUGGUUAUCUGUUGGUCAAAAUUAUUUUUGCUAUUCAUUAGCUGUGUCAGACUCAAUAUGAUUUCAAAGUAAUAAUAAUAAUAAUUAGCAUAAAAAUCUAUUUAGCAAAACUGUUUAAUUAAUGAGUUUUUUUAAUUUAAUGAGCAUUUUCCUUCUAAGGUUUUAAAUUUCCAGGUGAAAUUACUUGCUGUAGUAUAAAUAAAUUGUAAAAUGAUUUUUUAUCUCUUAAAAGUACAGUUUCUGAAAAAUUUUUAGGAGCAAUGAUCAUGCAUUUGGACUUGAGGAAGAUUAUGACAUAUCAGCAAAGACUGAGUUACAUGGCAUGUAGGCACUCAAAGUAAAUGCAUAUUUACUUUGAGAGCUAUUACCAAAGUUAAUUUAAUUUUGGUACAUUAAGAAUAGACUGUUGUACAGGUUUCAAAUAUCAUUCUAUUUGCUGUACUGUGCAGUGUGUGGCUGCUAAACACUUCUACAUGGAGAUGAAGAAGAGUGGCUGCUUGCAGUUCUACUUCUGCUCUGUCUUGAAGCCAUCCAAAAAAUUGAAUGACAUCCAAGCAAUGCACAAGGACUACAUAAAAAGGAAAAUGGACAGCAAAGGCAGCAAGUUAAGCCUCAUUCACUGGAGACUGAUCUCAUUAUGACCAAAUGUUAGCUGUUUAGAGAAGCACCUACAUUUUGGGAAGCAGUCUUACCUCCUGUUGUAGUUUGGGAGAAAAAGACCCUGGAAAUGAACAGUUUCUCAUGCCUGUUUUAUGUAUUCACAUCAGAAAAUUAUGAAUGGCACCUAUUUCUCUUCACUGCCAGGGGAGUCUAGGCCACUAGUUCAGAUGUCAACUCCUCUGUUAAUGUCUGCAGUUACUCCCAUGUUUUUAGCUUAGAUUAACUUCUAAGUGGGAUUUUCAGUUUCCUGAGUAGCUUUCUGCAAUUGUCUGAAGUUAUGAGGAUACAAACUAGGAAACAUUAAAGUAACUUCCAAGCUCUGUGGAAGCUCAUUUAAGGCUGGAAGCAAAGUUAGAUGAGGAACUAUAGUUGGUCGUUGUGUAUUAUAUUGCUAUAUUUCCUAUGACUUCAAGAUGUUUGGUUGAAAGUAUGAAAAUGGUUUAUUUUCUGUUGUCCCAGUAAGAUACAUUCUUUUUUUGAAAAUCUCGUUAAUACUAAGCCUACUGACCACCGCCUUACAGGCAGAAGUUGAGCUGACCACUGAAAAUGCAGCUCCAAUAGGAGCUCCGUCUGAGCUUUCAGUGUGAAGGAAAUGGCUGGGCUGUUCCUAACCCUGCAGUUUCUGCCUGCAGAGGGCCCGAGGCAAUGGGCAGGAGGGAGUCAGAGCCACUCCUUAGCUGAUCUAUAGGAGCCUGACACCAGUUCAGUCCUUCAGCCUUGGGUUGUCCUUCAGUCCGGGGUACCUGCACAUUUCCCCAUCUCUGAAAUGUGUCAAGUUCCUUCUGGAUCUUUCUGGGCAUUUUUACACAGUGCUCUACAGUAUUUCUGUGUUCCCCAGUGUUAUUUAUCCCACUAAGUGAAGAAUUAUGUACAGGCAGGCUUCUAAUUUAAUUUUUUUUAUCACAUAAUGUCUUUCCUCCAUCUCCCCACUAAAGGCACAGAGUUUCAGAGCUUUCCUUAAAUGACUUCAAAUCAUGCUUU
rnacentral:lncRNA from 1 species